GUAGCUCAGUUGGGAGAGCGCCUGCCUUGCAAGCAGGAGGUCAUCGGUUCGAUCCCGUUC
rnacentral:tRNA from 1 species